GUGCCAGCAGCCGCGGUAAAACGUAGGACGCAAGCGUUAUCCGGAGUUACUGGGCGUAAAGCGCGGGCAGGCGGUCGCUUAAGUCUGAUGUGAAAUCUCCCGGCUCAACCGGGAGCAGCCAUUGGAAACUAGGCGACUGGAGUCUGACAGAGGUAGGCGGAAUUCCGGGUGGAGUGGUGAAAUGCGUAGAGAUCCGGAGGAACACCAGAGGCGAAGGCGGCCUACUGGGUCAGUACUGACGCUGAGCCGCGAAAGCCAGGGGAGCGAACGGGAUUAGAAACCCCUGUAGUCC
rnacentral:rRNA from 1 species